GACGAACCGAGCGAACGUUGUUCGGAAUCACUGGGCUUAAAGGGUGCGUAGGCGGGCCGUCAAGUCCGUGGUGAAAUCCUCCAGCUCAACUGGAGAAGUGCCUCGGAUACUGGCGGCCUCGAGGGGGGUAGGGGCGUGCGGAACUUCCGGUGGAGCGGUGAAAUGCGUAGAUAUCGGAAGGAACACCGGUGGCGAAAGCGGCGCGCUGGACCCCAUCUGACGCUGAGGCACGAAAGCCAGGGGAGCGAACGGG
rnacentral:rRNA from 1 species